rnacentral:rRNA from 1 species
AUUGAACGCUGGCGGCAUGCCUAACACAUGCAAGUCGAGCGGUAAAAGGUCGCUUGCUCCUGACUUGAGGGGCAGGCGGGUGUGUUACACCGAGGCAUGUGCGAUCGAGGGGGGGAAAGCGUCGGAAAACGGGCGCUAAUACCAUACGAGUUACGAGGGAGAACGUGGGGGCUCUUGAGAUCUCGCGGUCUGAGCUGACGCUAGGUCGGAUUAGCUAGUUGGUGGGGUAAAGGCCUACCAAGGCGACGAUCCGUAACUGGUCUGAGAGGAUGAUCAGCCACACUGGAACUGAGACACGGUCCAGACUCCUACGGGAGGCAGCAGUGGGGAAUAUUGGACAAUGGGCGAAAGCCUGAUCCAGCCAUGCCGCGUGUGUGAUGAAGGUCUUCGGAUUGUAAAGCACUUUUAGUUGGGAGGAAGGGCAGUAUGUUAAUACCUUGCUGUCUUGACGUUACCGAAAGAAUAAGCACCGGCUAACUUCGUG